UUUCCUACGGGGGGCAGCAGUGAGGAAUAUUGGUCAAUGGGCGCAAGCCUGAACCAGCCAAGUCGCGUGAGGGAUGACGGUCCUAUGGAUUGUAAACCUCUUUUGUCGGGGAGCAAGGCCCGCCACGUGUGGCGGGAAGGAGAGUACCCGAAGAAAAAGCAUCGGCUAACUCCGUGCCAGCAGCCGCGGUAAUACGGAGGGGGCAAGCGUUAUCCGGAUUUACUGGGGGUAAAGGGAGCGUAGACGGCAGCG
rnacentral:rRNA from 1 species